rnacentral:rRNA from 1 species
GGCAGCAGCCAUACCUCCUGCAGUUCAGACUGGGUAAUCUAUCUGAAGCUGAGCAGGUCUGGGCCUGUCCAGUACUUAGAUGGGAGACCGAGUAGGAAAGCUGGGUUGUUGCGGGAA